rnacentral:lncRNA from 1 species
GUUUGAAGCAGUCUGCUCCCUUAGUGUAAGAGGAUGUAGCUGAUUAUCUUUCUAUAAACAAGGAAAAACCUUCAGGUGGUCUGGCUUGGAUGGAAAACCCGGCUCUGGGAGAGAGAAAAUGCUUUGGGGCUAAAAGGAAAAGGCAUGGGACAAAGCCAAGAGAAGGAAAUUUAGAGCAUGGAAUGAACCGGAAAAAACCCAACCAAACAAGGUGCAGUGGGAAAGUGCUGCUGGCAUUACUUAUUCUGGGAACACUGGCCCCUUCUCCGGGUGAAUGACUGAAGCCACUCACCUCACUGAAACAAGCUGAGAUUGUGUGCUUCUCAGGGAAAUGUCAGACUAAAGAUGUGACAAGGAAGACUGCAACCCUAUUUGCUUCUGAUAACCUUCCUAUGACUAAGUCUUCUCUGGUUGAGAUUCCUGGGGAGGACA